AUGUUCACAACCUACCAUUUUCCUAAACUACAACAUGUAUCUUUAUCUUUAUCAAAUACUUGAAUUCCAUCAUAUUGUUGACCGAGUAAAAUUGCAAACAUAGGAGAACUGGAAUUCUAGAAAUGAGAUCGACAUAGACACUUGGUAUGAUGAUUAUUUGUAGGGGAAUGCGAUGGAACAUAAAAGGUCCGACAGGAACAAAGAAGAUUAGCAUCGCCCCAUCGUCACCAAGCAUGAGUGCGGCAAGGUUUUGAUCAACCAUAUUAUUUAUUGAGCAUCUAAGAACAGUUAACAAACUCUCAAGACAUCAAGAGAUGCUCUGAUAAGACUGAAAUGCCAACAACAUAAAUCAUUCCAUGAGUUGCUCCCGAAUUUCUUUGGACCACUUUAUUUUAAGAGGUACGGAGGCAUGCA
rnacentral:lncRNA from 1 species